CGCAGACUGGUCGGGGACCGAGGCCGUCAGAGGACAGCGACAGUGAGGAGGGCUUGUCGGACUGCAGCGAUGCCCCGACGGGGUUUUUAAGUAACAGCCAACAACAAAAAAUACACCACAUGAGCCGGAGGGAAGAGUCCGGCCUCACUGAGCAGGAGGGCUACAGACUAAAGAAGCUGCUAUAGGGAAAGUACGCAGAGCAAUCAACAAGGGCAAUGUCCAAAUCUCCAAUAAACUCACAGCGACAGCACCAACGAGGCCGACUGGAGGAGGGAAGUCCUGCUGAGCCACAACACCAACCUCAGUGGAGGAGUGGGCUUCCUCUUCUCCAGGUCCUUUAAUCCACUGUCACUGGAGGUCAAACACAUCAUCGAGGGGAGGUUGUUCUUAGUCAAGAGCGAGGCUGGACAUCAGCAGCAGUGGUACCCCAGGCCUGAUGGGGGCGCUGCUGAAAGCACGAGUCCUGUGCCUGCAGCAGCUGGUGGACGCAGUGGGGCCGACGCUGAGCGACGCCCCGGCCCUGGGCUCUCUGCUGGGGCUGCACUCCGUCCGGAUGGCGAGGAGGCUCCUGGAGCUGUGGAACCAGAGGCUGACUGAGGAGGAAAGGAGCCACCUCACAGACUACAGCCAGAAAGAUGUGGAGCCGGACCCUGCAGACCCCUUCCCCGAGAUCUACCUGAGCCCAGGACUAGGGGAACUCACCGGCCCCCCGCUCGCCACAACACGCCCCGAAGCGCUGACAUUGCACGAAGCAGACAAGAAGACUCUGUAUUUUAACUGUGUGAAGGGCAUAAACCGGUCCGGACUGUGCGACAGGCUCCCCACUGUGUGGUCCAACAGACUGGGACAAAAUGGACCGGGCCCACAGUGGAGGAUUUUAUACAAGCCUCCCCUCAAGAAACGGACUGCCGACCUCCAGUGGAGAAUUUUACACGGUGCUGUCGCCUCCAACGCUUUUAUUUCUGUUAUUAAUCCCACUGUUCUGAGCAAAUGCCCCUUCUGUGACCUCCGAGAGACUAUUUAUCAUGUUUUUACAGAGUGCAAGAGACUUGCGAGUUUCUUCUCUCUUUUAACAUCGGUUUUUAGUCUUUUUAAUGUGGUUUUUACUGAAAAGAUUUUUAUCAUGGGAGCUGCCUACAAGAAAGCAGAAAAAGAAAAGUGGCAGCUCCUCAACUAUCUUUCAGGGGAAGCCAAAAUGGCCAUUUAUUUAAGCAGGAAGGCCAGAGUGAAGGACAGAGAGGGGCAGGAGGCCAGGGCAGUGUGGCUGGUGAAUAUCAGGGCCAGGCUCUGGCUAGAGUUCCGCUUUUAUAAACACAUUGGAGACGUAGACACUUUUAAACAACGUUGGUGUUUUAAUAAUAUUGUGUGCUCAGUGAAAAAGAAUGAAUUGGUGUUUGCCCCUGUUUUUAUG
ensembl:lncRNA